rnacentral:rRNA from 1 species
AAUGAACGCUGGCGGCGCGCCUAAUACAUGCAAGUCGAGCGAGAAGACGUAGCAAUACGUUUGUAAAGCGGCGAACGGGUGAGGAAUACAUGGGUAACCUACCCUCGAGUGGGGAAUAACUAGCCGAAAGGUUAGCUAAUACCGCGUACGCUCCUUGGACUUCGGUUCAGGGAGGAAAGCGAUACCGUGGGUAUCGCGCUCUUGGUGGCUCAUGUCCUAUCAGCUUGUUGGUGAGGAACGGCUCACCAAGGCUUCGACGGGUAGCUGGUCUGAGAGGACGAUCAGCCACACUGGCACUGCGACACGGGCCAGACUCCUACGGGAGCAGCAGUAAGGAAUAUUGCGCAAUGGGCGAAAGCCUGACGCAGCGACGCCGCGUGGGGGAUGAAGGUC